rnacentral:lncRNA from 1 species
AGAUAAGAUGUCCUAGAACAGGUCAGGUGUAAAAGAAUAUUCACAUGCCCUUUCAACUCCCUCCGUUCUUUUUUCAUCUGGCUAUUGUAUCAAAUGUUGGUCCCCUAAUUUCAGAUUGACUAUAUAGUGGGUCUCAUUAGGGGGCUAGGAUGAAAUUUGAAAAAAAUAGGCAGGACAGGAGUUUUGAGUAAAAAAAAAAGGCAGGAUGAGACACUUGCAAAAAAAAAAGUCAGGACGACAAUUUAGGUAAAAAAAGUCAAGAUAAACUAAAAAAAAAAGAAGGCAGGACCAAACAGAGUGAAAAAUAAAAAGGCAGCACAGAAAUUACAGCUAAAAAAAAAAUGCAGGACAAAAAUAUUUCAUCUACCAAGCCCCCCCCCCCCCAUAAAAAUCAAAUGGAAGCUUCCUUAGGUGCAUAGUAUAAGCGGGAUACUGGAAUCUAACAAAACAAUAAGCGGUGUUCCGGGAUCAGAACCCCACACCCCCAAUGAGAUCCCCUUAAACGGCCUUUAUACAUGUAUAAAGAACUAAUAAAAAUUGAUUGUUAAGAAGUUGUACUACUACUUAUGAAAAUUGAUUGUUAAGAGUUGUACAAUGUACCUGAUCCUAGUGGAAUGACUCGUCCUGUAUACACCCUGUCAGGAAAUGAUGAAGAUCCUUGGUCAGCUUUCAAAUUGGCUUUGCUGGAAGACGGUUGGACGGGAUGUUGACAUCUUGCUUGACUAUAAUGUCAAUGAAUUCCAUAAAAGUCCCUGUACUUCAAGCAUAUUCUAACAUGUCUAAGACGAGAUGAUAUAACAACCAUAGGAAAAUAAACCACUCCUCGUCUUAUAUAAAACAAGGACUCCUGUUGGAAAUUCUACACCAUAGUUUGCAUCAUGUUUAUUCACUAAGUUAUGAUUAUUGUCUGGUAAAUUAUUG